CCUACGGGAGGCAGCAGUGAGGAAUAUUGGUCAAUGGACGAGAGUCUGAACCAGCCAAGUAGCAUGAAGGAUGACUGCCCUAUGGGUUGUAAACUUCUUUUAUAUGGGAAUAAAACGUUCCACGUGUGGGAUUUUGUAUGUACCAUAUGAAUAAGGAUCGGCUAACUCCGUGCCAGCAGCCGCGGUAAUACGGAGGAUCCGAGCGUGAUCCGGAUUUAUUGGGUUUAAAGGGAGCGUAGGUGGAUUGUUAAGUCAGUUGUGAAAGUUUGCGGCUCAACCGUAAAACUGCAGUUGAAACUGGCAGUCUUGAGUACAGUAGAGGUGGGUGGAAUUCGUGGUGUAGCGGUGAAAUGCUUAGAUAUCACGAAGAACUCCGAUUGCGAAGGCAGUUCACUGGACUGCAACUGACACUGAGGCUCGAAAGUGUGGGUAUCAAACAGGAUUAGAUACCCGUGUAGUC
rnacentral:rRNA from 1 species